AUGUCGCGCUUCUAUUCUUCUUUUCCUGGGAAUAGCCUCCGGGCUAUGCGGAGUCUGUGAUGUGGACCCCAGAAUGGGAAUGUUCGUUGCAACAGCCGUUGGACGUGCGACGCACCAUUUCAUCAACAAGUGCUGGAAGUACAUCAGACAACUCCAUGUGAAGCCCGACUCAAAAUUGUUCAACGACGUUACAAACUUUGCCUGCGCCAACGGAGACUAUUGCGUGGCUAAAGUUGGCGAAGAAAUACCCAAGUAUGGAGAAU